rnacentral:rRNA from 1 species
CAGUAGCCGCGGGAAUACGAAGGGGGCUAGCGUUGCUCGGAAUUACUGGGCGUAAAGCGUGCGCAGGCGGUUGUGUAAGACAGGUGUGAAAUCCCCGGGCUUAACCUGGGAACUGCGCUUGUGACUGCACAGCUAGAGUAUGGCAGAGGGGGGUGGAAUUCCACGUGUAGCAGUGAAAUGCGUAGAGAUGUGGAGGAACACCGAUGGCGAAGGCAGCCCCCGGGCCAAUACUGACGCUCAUGCACGAAAGCGUGGGGAGCAAACAGGAUUAGAUACCCCCGUAGUCCCUGUCUCUUAUACA